CGCAUCAGGCGCGAAAACUUUACCAUGCGGGCAACCGUGAUAAGGAAACCCCGAGUGCCAGCAGAGGCUGGCUGUCCAUCAGUGUAAAUAACUGGUGAAGAAAGGGCCGGGCAAGACCGGUGCCAGCCGCCGCGGUAAUACCGGCGGCUCGAGUGGUGGCCGCUAUUACUGGGCUUAAAGGGUCCGUAGCUGGAUAUACAAGUCCCUUGAGAAAUCCGCCGGCUUAACCGGUGGGCGUUCAGGGGAAACUGUAUUUCUAGGGACCGGGAGAGGUGAGAGGUACUGCCGGGGUAGGAGUGAAAUCCUGUAAUCCCGGUGGGACCACCUAUGGCGAAGGCAUCUCACCAGAACGGGUCCGACAGUGAGGGACGAAAGCUGGGGGAGCAAACCGGAUUAGAUACCCGGGUAGUCCCAGCUGUAAACGAUGCGCGUUAGGUGUGUCAGUGACCACGUGUCACUGAGGUGCCGAAGGGAAACCGUGAAAGCGCCCGCUGGGGAGUACGGUCGCAAGGCUGAAACUUAA
rnacentral:rRNA from 1 species